rnacentral:lncRNA from 1 species
CUUGUUCACAGCAUAAACAUCUACAGCCCCACUCUGGAGGGAUUCUGUAGCUGUGGGAGGACUCCAGGCGCUGUAUGAAUUAUGAAAAAUAAUAACAGCAAACCUUUGCUUCUUCACAUGAAACCAGACAGCCUGACUUCCUCAUCAGUGAAGAGGAGUUGAAAGUAGUGGUAGCUUACAACAUUCUGGCUCCUUGUGCUGAUUGUGACUGGGA